GUUCGGUUUUUGUGUGUGAAACCGAGAGAGAGGAGGGAGAGAUACAGAGAGAGAUUGAGCGGGACAGAGAGCCGGAGAACUUUUCCGGCGACCGCCACGCUCGUGGCGCGACCAACAACUAGUGGUCGUCGCCCCUCCCCCGUGCCAAGCCUCGGCUCCUUGGUUAGCAGGGCAAGAGUGCUAUCAACAGGGAACUUUUGAUAGUGGGAUUUUUGGAUUUGAGUUUCAUUAGUUGUAUAUUUUUUGAGUUGUUUAUGGCAGAGAUGAGUUUGCUGGGUUUAGUUGUUGGUUGGAGAUAUAUGAAUUUAUUUUUUAGAUUAUAGAAACUCUGAUAUUGAAACUAACUUGUUGGUUUAUCAAAUAUAUAUGUAUAUUAUAUAUUGAAACCAACAAGAAUAUUGAUAACAAAUGGGUGGUUUGUGUUU